UAAAUCUGUGUGUUAUUGAGUUUUCACGAUUUUGCCGAAUGUUCUAGAAGCACUUUCGUUUUCUUUUAUGAUCUUUGAAGAAUCUAAUCUGAUCUGAUUUGAUCUGAGCCGUCGAUCUAAGAUAUGGAAAGGAUCGUUGGAGGUAAAUUUAAGCUUGGCCGUAAAAUCGGUAGUGGAUCGUUUGGUGAAAUUUUCCUCGCUACGCAUAUUGAUUCGUUUGAGAUCGUCGCAGUUAAAAUUGAGAAUAAUAAGACUAAACAUCCUCAACUUCUCUAUGAGGCCAAGUUAUACAAUAUUCUCCAGGGAGGAAGUGGUGUACCACAUAUAAAAUGGUCCGGUGUGGAUGGUGAUGAUAACGUACUGGUCAUGGAUUUAUUGGGUCCUAGUUUGGAAGAUCUCUUUGUCUAUUGUGACCGGAAGCUUUCGUUGAAGACUGUUUUAAUGUUGGCUGACCAGAUGAUUACGAGAAUUGAGUAUGUACAUUCUAAAGGCUUUCUACACAGGGAUAUUAAGCCUGACAACUUUCUGAUGGGCCUUGGUCGAAAAGCAAAUCAGGUUUAUAUUAUUGAUUUUGGUCUUGCUAAAAGAUAUCGUGAUGCGACUACAAAUCGCCAUAUUCCUUACAGAGAGAACAAAAAUUUAACGGGAACAGCACGCUAUGCCAGUUGUAAUACUCAUCUCGGAAUUGAGCAAAGCCGGCGGGAUGACUUAGAAUCUCUUGGAUAUGUUCUCCUUUAUUUCUUGAGAGGCAGCCUCCCAUGGCAGGGUCUAAAAGCUGCCACAAAGAAGCAAAAGUAUGACAAAAUAUGUCAGAAGAAGUUGUCAACUCCUAUUGAGGUUUUAUGCAAGUCUCAUCCCGUUGAGUUUGCUUCGUACUUCCAUUACUGCCAUUCGUUGACAUUUGAUCAGCGGCCUGAUUAUGGAUUUUUAAAACGGCUCUUCCGUGAACUUUUUACCCGUCAAGGAUAUGAAUUUGAUUACAUAUUCGAUUGGACCAUCCUAAAGUACCAGCAGGCACAAACAAGUAAACCACAGCAUCGGCAAGUUGUCGGUGAAAGCAGCAGAGCAAUUCCAAUGGAUGUCGAGAAGCGUCAAGUUUCUACAGACAAAAAUGGACCUUCUGUUGCUGAGGUGACUGAUCGCAUGAGACUAAACAAUCCUUCCAGUCCUGGUAUUCGUAUGCAAUUUAAGUCACCAACAAACAGGAAUUUACCCUCCGCCAAUCUUGAAAGAAACGUACUAAGUAGUGCACACAUGCCAUCUACUUCAUUAGCUUCUGUUUUACCAAGAGCAAAUGCCACAAAACCUGCAUUACCCGCUGAAACAACUCAUGAUAGUGAUAUUCCUAGCAGCAGCUGGAUUUCCUCCUUGCGACGUAUUUCUUCUGCAAAGUGAUAAAAUGGAUUAAGCUAAAGUUGGGGCCAAUGUGCUGUCAAAUUGGGCAGCUCAUCCUUAUGCUAUGAUUACAAGAUUGCAUGGAGAUUUGUGUGGCUGAUCAUCCUGCUGCCUGAGUUUUGCAAUUUCACAAGUUCAAGAGGGUGUGAACUGAGCUGGACGGGAAAGCAGAUGGCAGCUGUUUGUCUUUCUUUGGGAGCUCGGGAAUUCCAUUUGAAGACGUCAUGAUAUGCUGUGAGAUGUGGUUUCUGUCAGAGUUAUGGAUCCCUUGGAUUUAAUCAACUCCAGAAGAACAGGAACUAGUGAUUCAAUUGUUUGGUUUGUUGAUGGUGCGAUGGAUCAGUUAUGUAAUGGACAAAGUAUCCACUGGCACCUUUCCAUUUAACAAGUCUUAACGGUUGUUUCGUGGCAGAUCACCGAUAACUUGGGAAACAUUCUGCCUGAACUUAUAUUCCUGCUCUCAAGUGUCUUGCGAAAGCUAGACUUGCUAGGCUCGUGAGGAAUUCAUGCGGAGAAACUUUAUGCCUUCUCAAAUCUGAGCGGGUAACAUGUGGUAGGGUCAUGGAGUAAGGCUAUGGUACUGAACAUCUAGUCCCUCUUGACUUGUCAGGACUUCAGACUGGGAGAUUCAACAUCCAGAUUUUGUGCUGAUUUCAUUUUCAGCAAGGCUAUGGUUCCCACAGUGCACCAUCGUGGUGCUGGAGGAAUAUUUGAUUACACAUUUAUGUCCCAGGAUAUAUAAAGCUCAGUAAGUGGCCGUCGAGCGUUGAAAUCUUCAUGAUUGCAUAACUGAGUAGUUUUUUGCGUGUCCCUGCCCACCCAUUUCUACGGUUUCACCAUUUUGACAUUUUACCCUUCGUGCUCUGAACUUGCUUCCAAGAAGAGUCUUUCCUGUGUCCAGUUCAGAGAGACCCGCCUGUCCAUUCUGUUAUGUUCGAUGUUUCAGAUGGAUCUUGGGAUUCAGACUGCCCUCGAGCUCUUCAAAGAGAGCUGCUGCUGUUUUCUAAAUUUGGUAACCUGAUAAGUUAUACUCCAUAGUCUGCGACUUUGCCAUUCACUUUAUGAACAGUGAGAUCUGAGGAAAGCCAAGGUUCUGUGUUCUGAAAUGGUUGGCAGCCGAUUACGCCGUUAAACAGUACUGCAGGAUGAGAUCUCAUGAAUACCGGUAAACGGUAUUACGCUUCGCGUUUGAAAAAGAAUUUUCAGAGUUCUUUUGUCAAUCUUCUAAUUUUUCUAUAAUCAAAUACCAGUAAGGGGAAAGACGUAUAGUUUUUGCGAAAAAAAUAAUAUUCCUACUUGAUAAAGCUAUGUUACUCGUAUUUGAA